GACGAACGCUGGCGGCGUGCUUAACACAUGCAAGUCGAACGGAAAGGCCCUGCUUUUGUGGGGUGCUCGAGUGGCGAACGGGUGAGUAACACGUGAGUAACCUGCCCUUGACUUUGGGAUAACUUCAGGAAACUGGGGCUAAUACCGGAUAGGAGCUCCUGCUGCAUGGUGGGGAUUGGAAAGUUUCGGCGGUUGGGGAUGGACUCGCGGCUUAUCAGCUUGUUGGUGGGGUAGUGGCUUACCAAGGCUUUGACGGGUAGCCGGCCUGAGAGGGUGACCGGCCACAUUGGGACUGAGAUACGGCCCAGACUCCUACGGGAGGCAGCAGUGGGGAAUAUUGCACAAUGGGCGGAAGCCUGAUGCAGCAACGCCGCGUGCGGGAUGACGGCCUUCGGGUUGUAAACCGCUUUCGCCUGUGACGAAGCGUGAGUGACGGUAAUGGGUAAAGAAGUACCGGCUAACUACGUG
rnacentral:rRNA from 1 species